GUGACAGGAGGUGACAGCAUGGAGGACACUGGCAGGUGUCCUCAAAGAGAAGGGGAGAGCCAUACGACUCUGCCCAGUGUUCCGUGACAGGAAGUGACAGCGCGGAUAACACUGCCUGGUGUCCCUGAAGUAGACAGGACAGUGCGGCCGACACUAUCAGGUGUCCCAGGAGAGGAGGGGACAUCAUAGCUGCUACUGACAGCUGUUAUCAGUGAGGAUUGGACCACGCAGCUGACACUGGCCAGUCCUGGGAGAGGAAGGGACAGUGCAUCAGAUACUGACUGGUGUCCCCGGGAGUAGGGGACAGCACAGCCAACAGUGCACAGGGACCCGUGAGAGGAAUGGACAGCACUGCCGACAGUGCCCGACAUCCCAGAGGGGGAGGGGACAGUGCUGCUGACUCUACCCAGUGUCCAGUCACAGUAGGAGGUGACAGCGCGGACGACACUGCCUGUUGUCCUUGGAGAGGAGUGGACAGCAGGGCUGACACUGCAUGGGGUCCCAGGAGAGGAGGGGACAGCGCGUUCAACACAGCCUGGAGGGAACAGCGUGUCUGACACUGCACAUGGUCCCAGGAGAGGCAGAGACCGCACAGUUAACACUGACCAGGGUCCCGGUAGAGGAUGGGACAGCACGGCCAACCCUACCUGGUGUCCUGGAAGAGGAGGGGACAGCGCGACCAACAAUGCCUGGCAUCCCAGGAGAGGAGGGGAGAGUGCAGCUACACUGCCUGGUAUCCCUUGAGAAGAGGGGACAGCGCAGUUUACACUACCCAGUGUCCUGUGACAGAAGUAUGAUGACUUUUCCUGCCUUCAUCUCCAGACCCAAGGAUACAGAACAAAGGCAACACAGAUCUGCACACUUCAAAAUGUCAACUGGAAUCUGCAAGCCCAGGUUCUCACAGGAGCUAAAGGUUAAAGGCCAAGGUGACAGGGGAGGCAGAUAGCAAGUAACCAAGAGAAAAUGUCAUGUGUCUGUGGCCACCUUCUCUACCUGUCAGAACCAAGCCACGGCUGACAGGUGGGAGCCACACCUGGACCUGGCCCCUCUGCCCGGGCUGCCCUUGAGCAUAGCAGAGGAAAUGCUGAGCUGGGUGUAGGUGUCCGGGGGAGAUGGGCAGUUGGCCACAGAGGCUACCUGCCAAGUACCUGUAGGACCAGUUCCUGGUCCUCAGCUAAGGUUAAACAACCAUUAUGUUUAUUUAUAUAUUUACUUGACAGGUAAUGUGCUCAGUGCUUUGAGAGACUAUAGUCUCUCCUAUCUUAUUUUUUUAACACUUUAUGGAGGUAUGAUUGAGAUACAAAAAGCUCUCCAUAAUUAAUGUAUGCAACUUGAUCCUGACCCUAACCCGAAUAUCUAGCUAGGAUUUAGAAUAUGUUCUGAUUUAGAAUAUGGUUCGUAAAUUAUAUGACGGGUUUUAGGAGCUGGGGAAUCCAGGACCAACCUUACCCUCCCUUGAAUGUGAUAGGUUGUAACACAUUCCGCCACAUGCUAUCUGCAGAGUGACCACACGAGGGCACCAGUGAGCACACAGCGCAAACCCCGCCCCCCACAAAGCCAAUGCUUCCCUCAUCCUGUACAACCUUGCUCAUUCAAUGUUUACAGAUCAUUUUAUAGAUUAUUAAAACUGUGACUUUGUUGAAUUUUUUAAAAGCCAAACUAAUUCCUUGAAACUGUUAAAAUUAUGUUUUCUAAAAUUCUCGGAGUUGGUCCUGGGGAGCAAAUGAAAACCUGGGGGCCUGGGAAAAACUGGUAUUGAAUACUUUAAGAUCUACUUAGAUAACAAGUAUGAAUUAUACUCUACUUAUUUUCAGAAAUAAUUCGUCUCAACUAACAGUAUUGAACUCACACAAUACAGUGCAUUUCGAGGGGAAAACAAAAAACAAAAAACAAAAAAAACAAGAAUCAACAGCCUCAAGAAGCAGAGAAAGAGCCACACCCAGGAA
rnacentral:lncRNA from 12 species